rnacentral:rRNA from 1 species
AAUGAACGCUGGCGGCGCGCCUAAUACAUGCAAGUCGAGCGAGAAGACGUAGCAAUACGUUUGUAAAGCGGCGAACGGGUGAGGAAUACAUGGGUAACCUACCCUCGAGUGGGGAAUAACUAGCCGAAAGGUUAGCUAAUACCGCGUACGCUUCUUGGACUUCGGUUCAGGAGGAAGCGAUGCCGAGGGUAUCGCGCUCUUGGAUGGGCUCAUGUCCUAUCAGCUUGUUGGGAGGUAACGGCUCACCAAGGCUUCGACGGGUAGCUGGUCUGAGAGGACGAUCAGCCACACUGGCACUGCGACACGGGCCAGACUCCUACGGGAGGCAGCAGUAAGGAAUAUUGCGCAAUGGGCGAAAGCCUGACGCAGCGACGCCG